rnacentral:rRNA from 1 species
AGAAUCAACGCUGGCGGCGUGCCUAACACAUGCAAGUCGAACGCGAAAAGGGCUUCGGCUCUUAGUAGAGUGGCGAACGGGUGAGUAACACGUGGGUGACCUACCUUCGAAUGGGGGAUAACGUCCCGAAAGGGACGCUAAUACCGCAUAACAUCCUGCCUUUGAACAGGUGGAGAUCAAAGCCGGGGAUCGCAAGACCUGGCGUUUGAAGAGGGGCCCGCGUCUGAUUAGCUAGUUGGUGAGGUAAUGGCCCACCAAGGCAACGAUC